AAACACGACACAAUGCCAGCUGUCAAGAACAAGAAAAAGAAGGUGAAGAAAGAGGUUGUUGAUGAGGAAGAGCAGGGAGAAGUGGCCCUGGAUGUGGAGAUGGAGGAAGUGAUCAACAGGAGCCAUUCUGACAGCAGAGACCCUUUGACCCCAGAGCCACAGGAUCUAGCACCACAGAAGAAAAAGAAGAAGAAGAAGGCACCUACAGUUGAACACGAAACAGAGCAUGCUGAUACGCCAAAUGGCAACAUUGCUGAACCAGUGAUAGAUGGAGAAGAAAUGAAUGUCGCUGUAACCAGGAGGACAAAAAGGAAGAGGUGAGUACCAGCAUUAGGUCAGAUCCUCAUAUUUGAGCUAGAUGGAAAACCAUCACUGAUGGAAAAAUGCAUCCAAAGAACCAUUGAGGGGUUUUUUCAGUAAUGAGUUCACUCAUCAUUUGUGACAGUCAGGAAUCCAAAUUAGGAAAGUACAAGCAGUAGCAUUAACUAUGGUCAAAGAUCAACAAAUAUUAGUGAACUGUGGCAGUUAGCUUUAGCUGAAGCGAUGUCAAAAGUUAAACUUAGUCACUGUGCAGUAAUAUGAAAAAGAAUGCUUUCAUAAGACUGUGGUAAUAAGCAAAACACAACC
rnacentral:lncRNA from 1 species